rnacentral:rRNA from 1 species
CGGCAUGCCUUACACAUGCAAGUCGAACGGCAGCAUGGAAGAGCUUGCUCUUCUGAUGGCGAGUGGCGAACGGGUGAGUAAAGCAUCGGAACGUACCGUGUAGUGGGGGAUAACGUAGCGAAAGUUACGCUAAUACCGCAUACGCACUGAGGUGGAAAGCAGGGGAUCGCAAGACCUUGCGCUAUACGAGCGGCCGAUGUCAGAUUAGCUAGUUGGUGAGGUAAAGGCUCACCAAGGCAACGAUCAGUAGCUGGUCUGAGAGGACGAUCAGCCACACUGGGACUGAGACACGGCCCAGACUCCUACGGGAGGCAGCAGUGGGGAAUUUUGGACAAUGGGGGCAACCCUGAUCCAGCAAUGCCGCGUGAGUGAAGAAGGCCUUCGGGUUGUAAAGCUCUUUUGUCAGGGAAGAAACAGCAGCUCUAACACAGUCUGCGAAUGACGGUACCUGAAGAAUAAGCACCGGCUAACUACGUG